GUUUGGACUAAGCCAGACUGUCAAAUAGGCAACAGGAAGUAAAUUAAAAAGAGCUAGCCACGUACGUCUGCUCAUUAUGUUUCUUUUCACUUGAUCCCCUAAAGUGUGGCUGUUGCUAACUCCUAGAGGCGUUACUAUUCUAGGCUCCUUGGAAACUACAGAAAGAUUGAUUGAUUUGUUAUGUUCCUGCAGCACAACAGGGAAGGACAGUGGGAAGAGUUUGAACUCAAGACCAUCAUGACAACAGUUCAAAGAGCAGACCACUCACAGAUAUCAUUUGGUUUGGAUUUAUUUUUUCAUAGUUCAAGCCAAAAUUUAACUAGUGGUGCCUCCACUGCAGGGAAGAAGACGAAAUGGUUUCACAUUGCCAGACUUGAUGAAAUCCAAUUCAAAAGUUUGGGAAGCCACUUGCUUUUGACUUGCAUAAAAGUAUAAAUAUUAAAAUAUGUCACAAGCAACUGUCAGCUUUCAAUCAAGGGUUUUUAUAAGAGAAGAUUUGAGACUCUCAAGUUUGAAGAUGUUUUGUUUUUUUUAUGCUAAAACCUGCAUUAAUAAUAUAUAUGUUUUGAAUUAAGAACACAGCCAAUAAAUAAUAUGUG